AAUGAACGCUGGCGGCAGGCCUAACACAUGCAAGUCGAGCGGAAGAAGGGAGCUUGCUCCUGGAUUCAGCGGCGGACGGGGGAGUAAUGCCUAGGAAUCUGCCUGGUAGUGGGGGAUAACGUCCGGAAACGGGCGCUAAUAUCGCAUACGUCCUGAGGGAGAAAGUGGGGGAUCUUGGGACCGCACGCUAUGAGAUGAGCCUAGGUCGGAUUAGCUAGGUAGUGGGGUAAAGGCCUACCGAGGCGACGAUCCUUAACUGGUCUGAGAGGAUGAUCAGUCACCCUGUAACUGAGACUCGGUCCAGACUCCUACGGGAGGCAGCAGUCGGGACUCUUGCGCGAUGGGCCAAAGCCUGAUCCAGCCAUGCCGCGUGUGUCAAGAUGGUCUUCGGAUUCUAAAGCGCUUUAAGUUGUGAGGAAGGGCAGUACUUUAAUCCCUUGCUGUUUUGACGUUACCAACAGAAUAAGCACCGGCUAACUUCGUG
rnacentral:rRNA from 1 species